ensembl:ncRNA ZC513.17 ncRNA
GAUGAGUUCUGAAACUCUAACUAGGAAAUGAUUUUUUUUGAAAAAGAAAUAUGAAAAAGUCACAAUCUGAACAAAUUGCUAAUUGGCAAGAGCAAUUUACUGAAGGGUACCACUUGCGGAUAUUACAGGAAAACAGUAUUUUCUGAUAUGCAAAAUUCAUUCUUCUUAUUAUAGAACAUUUUA